rnacentral:rRNA from 1 species
UGCAGUAGAACGCUGAAGACUUUAGCUUGCUAAAGUUGGAAGAGUUGCGAACGGGUGAGUAACGCGUAGGUAACCUGCCUACUAGCGGGGGAUAACUAUUGGAAACGAUAGCUAAUACCGCAUAACAGCAUUUAACACAUGUUAGAUGCUUGAAAGGAGCAAUUGCUUCACUAGUAGAUGGACCUGCGUUGUAUUAGCUAGUUGGUGAGGUAACGGCUCACCAAGGCGACGAUACAUAGCCGACCUGAGAGGGUGAUCGGCCACACUGGGACUGAGACACGGCCCAGACUCCUACGGGAGGCAGCAGUAGGGAAUCUUCGGCAAUGGGGGCAACCCUGACCGAGCAACGCCGCGUGAGUGAAGAAGGUUUUCGGAUCGUAAAGCUCUGUUGUAAGAGAAGAACGUGUGUGAGAGUGGAAAGUUCACACAGUGACGGUAACUUACCAGAAAGGGACGG